CUAACAAAUGGUAGUUAACACUUGUGAAUUUGAGUAGUGCACCUAGAACUCAAGGGGUACCCAAUUGUGGUGGAGGUAUAGGUAUUCUGAGACGUCACAUUUACAUUUGCUUUAAGGGUUGCUAUGAUUUAAAGUAUCUUUUAACUUAAAAACGAUGUUUGUGGGUAACAUCACUGCAAACCCUCACGAGACAACACUCGUCCACUAGGGUAACCUAGGGGUUUAACGGCUUGUUGCACGUGCUAAGUGCAAUCGUAAUGCUCUACGAAAAUGAGUAUUUAUUUUAAUUCAUGCAUAUUGAUAUAUAUUAAUAAAAAUAAAUAAUACUUUUGCACCCUCAUUUUAUCAUUUUCACACUAAAU
rnacentral:lncRNA from 1 species